rnacentral:lncRNA from 1 species
GGAGUGUUUCUAGAGCUCGGAGGCUGCUGGUAGGGGGUGAGUGCGCCACGUGCGUGCGCCACGGGCGAGCAGGAGGCAGGCUCUGGGCCCUCCUGGGGACCUGCUGGACCUGCUGGACCUGGGUGCGACGAGUGGGCGGCCACGCUGGUUUGGCGCGGGGAAGGAAGGGGGUGUGCCGACUUGUAUUUAGUUGGGGGUUGUGGAAGUCACGGCUGGGGGAAAAGCGUCCGGUGGUUUGUUGGUAAAGAGGGGCACCACUUUCAGAUAAAAACAUAGACCUGAAUGGCAUCAUCCAGUAUCCAAGGAAACCAUGCUUGCUUGAAGAGUGAGCAGGUGAGCAAAGAGACAAGAUUACAUGUUUAAACCAAGAAAAGAAUCUUGAAAAUUUUUUACAGACAAUGGGAAGCACUGACACCUUUAAGAGGGAUGUGUAAUACACUCGCUAAUGUUUCCUGUUGUGUUUCUGAAAACCUGUGUCAGAAAAUAUACUGUCUCGAACUGGAAAGAUGUGAGAUUCUUAAUUUUAAAGAGCUCCAUUAAUAUUGUGUGUCUGUAACCAGCUAAUGAGCUGCAACAGAGCCUGGCCUUCAUUUUCAGCAAAUUAAGUUCAUCCCUCAUAGGAAUUGUGGUCUGGCUGUGGCACCGCUCCUAGGAAACCAGAAUACAUUAGGGAGGAGACAGCAAAGGAAAACAAAAGACAAUAAAGGAAUCGAUGUAUUUGUUUUGUAACUCAAAGUUAAAGUCCAAAUUUAGAAAAUAGAUUUGAAAGCAUAACGGGUCAAUUUCUGUUGUGCCUCUGAAGAAGAAAGUUGAGAAAGAACGAAGAGGGCUUAGAUGCUGGUGGGUGUCUGCAAAAAAGCCCAGACAAUGCCUGGAAUAAUAAAGAAGCAGAGAACUUCCAGGGAGGAAGGGAACAGUCUCUAAGAUGGAGCAGGACCUGGGGAAGUCUUGCUUCUCCACUGAAGAACAUGGACCAAGACCAGGGCAGAAGGGAUGGCAGCUUCCCCGUAGAGCAGUGAGGACGGAUGACGACAUGAAGACUGGACUGCUCAUUCUCACCUUCCCUUCACAGUCCCUGGCACUUUUUAAGCUCCUUGGAAAUUAGAGGCAAUCUAGGAGAAAGGGGGAUAGAAGCAGACCUUAUUUCUGUUACAAUGUGAAUGGGAGCUUCAAAUUGAAGAUAAAAUGUUAUGGAAAAAGUGAAAUUAUAUAUAUAUUUUGCACAUCGUAGCUUGGUGGCUUUAGGUUUCUGUGCAUCAAAGGAAGGAAUUGUGUCUUCCUCAUUGUCAUACUCUGGUAUUGGAGAUUGUGCAACAUAUAUAGUAGGUAUGCAAUAAACAGCUGUUAACA